rnacentral:rRNA from 1 species
AUUAGUUUUUUAAUUGAAGGCUGGAAUGAAUGGUUGGACAAGAAAUAAUCUGUCUUAAUAAAAGAUAUUGAAUUUAACUUUUAAGUGAAAAGGCUUAAAUGAUCUGUAGGGACGAUAAGACCCUAUAAAACUUUAUAUUUAAGGGUAAAAGUUAUUUUUAUUUAUACAUUAUUAUCUAAGAAUGUUUGGUUGGGGUGACAAGGAUAGAAUAUUAAGUAACUGUCUUUUUUUUUAACAAUAAUAUUUGGUUUAGUGAUCCUAAAAAGGAUUAAAGAUUAAGUUACUUUAGGGAUAACAGCGUAAUUUUCUUUGAGAGUUCUUAUCGACGAGAAAGUUUGCGACCUCGAUGUUGAAUUAAAGGUUCUUUAUAGAGUAGAGACUAUAAUAGAAGGUCUGUUCGACCUUUAAAAUUUUACAUGAUUUGAGUUCAGACCGGUGUGAG